CUUCCUUGCCGUUCGUUAACUGUACACGCCACCCCCAACUUGCCCGAGCUCGCCGCCGCUCACCCCGGGCAUAAAAACCGAAGACCGAAGACCAAAACCGAAAAGACCGAGACCGAACCCGAAAAGACCGAAUUAGAAAAGACCGAAUAAAAAACGGUCUGUGCAAAUAGAAGACCGAACUAGUUUCGGUCUGAUCGGUCAUGCUAUGUUUAGGACCGAAUAGCCCGUAUAGACUGAUUAAUAAAAGCCCAUCCUAAGGCUCGUCCGGCCAGCCCAAUGGUCACGCACUAGACCCAACUACAGAGUAGAGCCCCCUAAAAAAAAAACUACAGAGUAGAGUACACGACCUCGCAUCCUCACAUCCCGAUUCAUAGAAACCACCAGCAGCCAAUCUCUUGUUCUCCCACUGCUAACCCUAGCCGCCGCCUGCUGCUUGCCUCGAUGCGCGCCGCGCCCCCCUGAAUGAAGACCUGCGCCCGAGCGGCGGCCCUAGCCGGUGAAGACCGGCGCCCGAGCGGCAGGCCUGGCAGGUGAAGACGGGCACCGCGAGCGGCGGCCCUGAGCCCCUGACCGUGAAGACUGUCGCCCUGCGCCGCCGCCAACCCCAACCUCCCGUCGGUCGCUCCACCGCCUACGACGCGGCCGUCCGCCGCCGGUGCUCCACCUCCCGACGACCUGCCCACUUUUGGUUCUCGACAUCGCAGCUGAAGAUGUUUUCUGAACAUGAUGACAAACUGAAUGAGAAUCAAGAUGCAUUUAUGAGUGUAGAGGCAAAGGCAGAUGCAGAAGCAGCAGCUGCAGAAGCAGGAGACGAAUCUUCUUGCUUUCUUUCAAAUAGAAAUGAUUAUGCAUGCAUGAAUCUUGUUGCUGGACCAUGAAUCAUGAAUGUUCUUACUUUGUGUCAUAUGAAUCUUGUUACUUGCUCUCAAAUGUAAACAUGUACUGGUACUUUGCUACUUGCUGUUGCAUAUAAACAUGUAUUGGUACUUUCUGCUCUCAAAUAUAAACAUGUAUUGGUACUGGAA